AAAAACAAAUGGAUAAUUUACUUAAUUCUUUUACUUUACAAGUAUUUAGCAUUGUCAGUUACAUUUAUUGUUAAAAUUAUUUCUCGUCUGUUAUUAAAUCAAGAUAGGUGUGAUUUGUCACUUGCGUUCAAUAUUUCAAUCUAAUACAUUGCAAAAUGUAUUUUAUUCAUUAUGGAGCCAACUGGCAAAAACAAUAUCCAUAGAUAUGGAAUAAGGGUAUACAAUAGUGAUGGUUACCUCUGAUCUCCUACAAAAUCUAUCCAUAGGAAAGAGGAAUGGCAUUCCCCAUUGAACCCAUAUUUUUCAUAUUAUGCACCAUCGUAUUUUUUUAGCCACCUUCAUCACUUUAAACAGCAUCAGAAGAGUUAUCUACAGCCACCAUAUAAUAGCCUGAUAGGUAUAUAUGUAUACAUAUAGGUUCUCAUAAGAUCAUUGGUCGUUACUAAUUUUUUGGUUAGCCGAUGAAAAGCCCAACUGUCAAAAACAUCGUAUAUACAGUACUCUUUGCGACAAUCAAUGAAAUAAGUUUUCAGUGAAUAAUAUGGAAAAUUUAAAGAGAUUCUUAUGUAAUCUAGAGACAUUCAACGAAAUACAACAAGAUUAUGCAUCAAAUGAAGAUAAGAUACGAGAUAUUUCAGCCAAAACAAUGCAAGAAGGAAUUAAUAACUUACAAGGUUAUAAUAUGAUUUUAUGAUAGUAAAGAUCAAUUUAAAAGUGAAAUAGAAGCGAAUUUAAAAUAUAUAACAUCCUCCAAACAUGUUAUUGAAAAAAGACAAGAUCUAGUAUGUAAUGAGAAUACUGGUUUAUCUGUUUCUAAUAUUCGCAAUGAUGCAAUGAUUGAAUUUACAAAGGAUGCAAUGACGUUGUUGAAUAAAUUUGGAAAUAGAGAUUCUAUUAAAUCAUCACAACUAGAUAAUAAUCUAACAUAUAUAAUAGAAGCCGUUAAAUUAUAUAAUGAAAAUAUUGCAAAAUCAGUUCGGAAAGAAAAGAUUUCUAUUGAUGAUGUUGAAUCAGCAAUGAAAAGUAUUCAUAUAUUAUCAGAUAGUUAUCGCCAAAUCGCAAUUCAUGAUGAUGAUACACCAAUGGACCUCAGUAUUAUAGAAUUCGAAAAAAGUCAAAUAUAAAUAUCAAUUUUUUUUUCAAUUACAAUUUAGAUCUUUAUUUUAUUGGAUUUAAAUCAGUAAGCAUUGGCAGAUGAGAUGUUUUCAAACUAUCAUGGAGAUUUAUCUUCAAGAACAGAAGUUGAGGGUCAACCAUAUCCUACAUAAUGAAGAUUAAAUAUGUAAGAAUUUUUUUUAAAUUUAUAUUAUCUGUAUUAUUAUUAAGUACAAAAAAUAUAAUUUUUAAACUUAUUUACCGUAAAA